UACGAAGGGGGCUAGCGUUGCUCGGAAUUACUGGGCGUAAAGCGCACGUAGGCGGCUUUCUAAGUCGGGGGUGAAAUCCUGGAGCUCAACUCCAGAACUGCCUUCGAUACUGGAAAGCUCGAGUCCGGGAGAGGUGAGUGGAACUGCGAGUGUAGAGGUGAAAUUCGUAGAUAUUCGCAAGAACACCAGUGGCGAAGGCGGCUCACUGGCUCGGUACUGACGCUGAGGUGCGAAAGCGUGGGGAGCAAACAGG
rnacentral:rRNA from 1 species